rnacentral:rRNA from 1 species
UUAAGCGACUAAGCGUACACGGUGGAUGCCCUGGCAGUCAGAGGCGAUGAAGGACGUGCUAAUCUGCGAAAAGCGUCGGUAAGGUGAUAUGAACCGUUAUAACCGGCGAUGUCCGAAUGGGGAAACCCAGUGCAAUUCGUUGCACUAUCGUUAACUGAAUACAUAGGUUAACGAGGCGAACCGGGGGAACUGAAACAUCUAAGUACCCCGAGGAAAAGAAAUCAACCGAGAUUCCCCCAGUAGCGGCGAGCGAACGGGGAGCAGCCCAGAGUCUGAAUCAGCUUGUGUGUUAGUGGAACGGUCUGGAAAGUCCGACGGUACAGGGUGAUAGUCCCGUACACCAAAAUGCACAGGCUGUGAACUCGAAGAGUAGGGCGGGACACGUGGUAUCCUGUCUGAAUAUGGGGGGACCAUCCUCCAAGGCUAAAUACUCCUGACUGACCGAUAGUGAACCAGUACCGUGAGGGAAAGGCGAAAAGAACCCCGGCGAGGGGAGUGAAAAAGAACCUGAAACCGUGUACGUACAAGCAGUGGGAGCACCUUCGGGUGUGACUGCGUACCUUUUGUAUAAUGGGUCAGCGACUUAUAUUCUGUAGCAAGGUUAACCGUAUAGGGGAGCCGCAGGGAAACCGAGUCUUAACUGGGCGUUAAGUUGCAGGGUAUAGACCCGAAACCCGGUGAUCUAGCCAUGGGCAGGUUGAAGGUUGGGUAACACUAACUGGAGGACCGAACCGACUAAUGUUGAAAAAUUAGCGGAUGACUUGUGGCUGGGGGUGAAAGGCCAAUCAAACCGGGAGAUAGCUGGUUCUCCCCGAAAGCUAUUUAGGUAGCGCCUCGUGAAUUCAUCUUCGGGGGUAGAGCACUGUUUCGGCUAGGGGGUCAUCCCGACUUACCAACCCGAUGCAAACUACGAAUACCGAAGAAUGUUAUCACGGGAGACACACGGCGGGUGCUAACGUCCGUCGUGAAGAGGGAAACAACCCAGACCGCCAGCUAAGGUCCCAAAGUCAUGGUUAAGUGGGAAACGAUGUGGGAAGGCACAGACAGCCAGGAUGUUGGCUUAGAAGCAGCCAUCAUUUAAAGAAAGCGUAAUAGCUCACUGGUCGAGUCGGCCUGCGCGGAAGAUGUAACGGGGCUAAACCAUGCACCGAAGCUGCGGCAGCGACACUAUGUGUUGUUGGGUAGGGGAGCGUUCUGUAAGCCUGCGAAGGUGUGCUGUGAGGCAUGCUGGAGGUAUCAGAAGUGCGAAUGCUGACAUAAGUAACGAUAAAGCGGGUGAAAAGCCCGCUCGCCGGAAGACCAAGGGUUCCUGUCCAACGUUAAUCGGGGCAGGGUGAGUCGACCCCUAAGGCGAGGCCGAAAGGCGUAGUCGAUGGGAAACAGGUUAAUAUUCCUGUACUUGGUGUUACUGCGAAGGGGGGACGGAGAAGGCUAUGUUAGCCGGGCGACGGUUGUCCCGGUUUAAGCAUGUAGGCUGAUUGUCCAGGCAAAUCCGGAUAAUCAAGGCUGAGGUGUGAUGACGAGGCACUACGGUGCUGAAGUAACAAAUGCCCUGCUUCCAGGAAAAGCCUCUAAGCAUCAGGUAACAUUAAAUCGUACCCCAAACCGACACAGGUGGUCAGGUAGAGAAUACCAAGGCGCUUGAGAGAACUCGGGUGAAGGAACUAGGCAAAAUGGUGCCGUAACUUCGGGAGAAGGCACGCUGGUGUGUAGGUGAAGCCCCUGCGGGUGGAGCUGAGACCAGUCGAAGAUACCAGCUGGCUGCAACUGUUUAUUAAAAACACAGCACUGUGCAAACACGAAAGUGGACGUAUACGGUGUGACGCCUGCCCGGUGCCGGAAGGUUAAUUGAUGGGGUUAUCCGUAAGGAGAAGCUCUUGAUCGAAGCCCCGGUAAACGGCGGCCGUAACUAUAACGGUCCUAAGGUAGCGAAAUUCCUUGUCGGGUAAGUUCCGACCUGCACGAAUGGCGUAAUGAUGGCCAGGCUGUCUCCACCCGAGACUCAGUGAAAUUGAACUCGCUGUGAAGAUGCAGUGUACCCGCGGCAAGACGGAAAGACCCCGUGAACCUUUACUAUAGCUUGACACUGAACAUUGAGCCUUGAUGUGUAGGAUAGGUGGGAGGCUUUGAAGCGUGGACGCCAGUCUGCGUGGAGCCAACCUUGAAAUACCACCCUUUAAUGUUUGAUGUUCUAACGUUGGCCCCUGACCGGGGUUGCGGACAGUGUCUGGUGGGUAGUUUGACUGGGGCGGUCUCCUCCCAAAGCGUAACGGAGGAGCACGAAGGUUAGCUAAUCCUGGUCGGACAUCAGGAGGUUAGUGCAAUGGCAUAAGCUAGCUUGACUGCGAGCGUGACGGCGCGAGCAGGUGCGAAAGCAGGUCAUAGUGAUCCGGUGGUUCUGAAUGGAAGGGCCAUCGCUCAACGGAUAAAAGGUACUCCGGGGAUAACAGGCUGAUACCGCCCAAGAGUUCAUAUCGACGGCGGUGUUUGGCACCUCGAUGUCGGCUCAUCACAUCCUGGGGCUGAAGUAGGUCCCAAGGGUAUGGCUGUUCGCCAUUUAAAGUGGUACGCGAGCUGGGUUUAGAACGUCGUGAGACAGUUCGGUCCCUAUCUGCCGUGGGCGCUGGAGAAUUGAGGGGGGCUGCUCCUAGUACGAGAGGACCGGAGUGGACGCAUCACUGGUGUUCGGGUUGUCAUGCCAAUGGCACUGCCCGGUAGCUAAAUGCGGAAGAGAUAAGUGCUGAAAGCAUCUAAGCACGAAACUUGCCCCGAGAUGAGUUCUCCCUGAGACUUUAAGUCUCCUGAAGGAACGUUAAAGACGAUGACGUUGAUAGGCCGGGUGUGUAAGCGCAGCGAUGCGUUGAGCUAACCGGUACUAAUGAACCGUGAGGCUUAACCUU